rnacentral:rRNA from 1 species
UACGUAGGGGGCUAGCGCUGUCCGGAAUCAUUGGGCGUAAAGAGCGUGUAGGCGGUCCGGUAAGUCCGCUGUGAAAGUCGGGGGCUCAACCCUCGAAUGCCGGUGGAUACUGUCGGGCUAGAGUGCGGGAAGAGGCGAGUGGAAUUCCUGGGUGUAGCGGUGAAAUGCGCAGAUAUCAGGAGGAACACCUAUUGCGAAGGCAGCUCGCUGGGACGUAACUGACGCUGAGACGCGAAAGCGUGGGGAGCAAACAGG